UACGGAGGGUGCAAGCGUUAUCCGGAUUCACUGGGUUUAAAGGGUGCGCAGGCGGAUAUGUAAGUCAGUGGUGAAAUCUCCAGGCUUAACCUGGAAAUUGCCGUUGAUACUAUAUAUCUUGAAUGCUGUGGAGGUAAGCGGAAUAUGUCAUGUAGCGGUGAAAUGCUUAGAGAUGACAUAGAACACCUAUUGCGAAGGCAGCUUACUACGCAGAUAUUGACGCUCAUGCACGAAAGCGUGGGGAUCAAACAGG
rnacentral:rRNA from 1 species